AUUGAACGCUGGCGGCAUGCCUUACACAUGCAAGUCGAACGGCAGCACGGGUGCUUGCACCUGGUGGCGAGUGGCGAACGGGUGAGUAAUACAUCGGAACAUGUCCUGUAGUGGGGGAUAGCCCGGCGAAAGCCGGAUUAAUACCCCAUACGAUCUACGGAUGAAAGCGGGGGACCUUCGGGCCUCGCGCUAUAGGUGUGGCCGAUGCCGGAUUAGCUAGUGGGGGGGGUAAAGGCCUACCAAGCCGACGAUCAGGAGCUGGACUUAGAGGACGACCAGCCACACGGGGACUGAGACACGGACCAGACUCCUACGGGAGGCAGCAGUGGGGAAUUUUGGACAAUGGGCGAAAGCAUGAUCCAGCAAUGCCGCGUGUGUGAAGAAGGCCUUCGGGUUGUAAAGCACUUUUGUCCGGAAAGAAAUCCUUGGCCCUAAUACGGUCGGGGGAUGACGGUACCGGAAGAAUAAGCACCGGCUAACUACGUG
rnacentral:rRNA from 1 species